rnacentral:rRNA from 1 species
AAGUCGAACGGUAACAGGAAGAAGCUUGCUUCUUUGCUGACGAGUGGCGGACGGGUGAGUAAUGUCUGGGAAACUGCCUGAUGGAGGGGGAUAACUACUGGAAACGGUAGCUAAUACCGCAUAACGUCGCAAAACCAAAGAGGGGGACCUUCGGGCCUCUUGCCAUCGGAUGUGCCCAGAUGGGAUUAGCUAGUAGGUGGGGUAACGGCUCACCUAGGCGACGAUCCCUAGCUGGUCUGAGAGGAUGACCAGCCACACUGGAACUGAGACACGGUCCAGACUCCUACGGGAGGCAGC